rnacentral:rRNA from 1 species
AUUGAACGCUGGCGGCAUGCCUUACACAUGCAAGUCGAACGGCAGCAUGAUCUAGCUUGCUAGAUUGAUGGCGAGUGGCGAACGGGUGAGUAAUACAUCGGAACGUGCCCUGUAGUGGGGGAUAACUAGUCGAAAGAUUAGCUAAUACCGCAUACGACCUGAGGGUGAAAGUGGGGGACCGCAAGGCCUCAUGCUAUAGGAGCGGCCGAUGUCUGAUUAGCUAGUUGGUGAGGUAAAGGCUCACCAAGGCGACGAUCAGUAGCUGGUCUGAGAGGACGAUCAGCCACACUGGGACUGAGACACGGCCCAGACUCCUACGGGAGGCAGCAGUGGGGAAUUUUGGACAAUGGGCGAAAGCCUGAUCCAGCAAUGCCGCGUGUGUGAAGAAGGCCUUCGGGUUGUAAAGCACUUUUGUCCGGAAAGAAAUGGCUCUGGUUAAUACCUGGGGUAGAUGACGGUACCGGAAGAAUAAGGACCGGCUAACUACGUG